GACGAACGCUGGCGGCGUGCUUAACACAUGCAAGUCGAACGGUGAAGGGGUCUGCUUUUGUGGGCCCUGGAUGAGUGGCGAACGGGUGAGUAACACGUGAGUAACCUGCCCCCUUCUUCUGGAUAACCGCAUGAAAGUGUGGCUAAUACGGGAUAUUCUGGGUCUGUCGCAUGAUGGGUCUGGGAAAGAUUGCGCCUUUGGGUGUUUUUGGUGGGGGAUGGGCUCGCGGCCUAUCAGCUUGUUGGUGGGGUGAUGGCCUACCAAGGCGGUGACGGGUAGCCGGGCUGGGAGGGUGGACGGUCACACUGGGACUGAGACACGGCCCAGACUCCCACGGGAGGCAGCAGUGGGGAAUAUUGCACAAUGGGCGCAAGCCUGAUGCAGCGACGCCGCGUGAGGGAUGGAGGCCUUCGGGUUGUAAACCUCUUUCGCCAGUGAAGCAGGCCUGCUCCUUGUGGUUGGGUUGACGGUAGCUGGAUAAGAAGCGCCGGCUAACUACGUG
rnacentral:rRNA from 1 species